rnacentral:rRNA from 1 species
UACGGAGGGUGCAAGCGUUAAUCGGAAUUACUGGGCGUAAGGCGCACGCAGGCGGUUAAUUAAGUCAGAUGUGAAAUCCCCGAGCUUAACCUGGGAACUGCAUCUGAAACUGGUUGGCUAGAGUCUUGUAGAGGGGGGUAGAAUUCCAGGUGUAGCGGUGAAAUGCGUAGAGAUCUGGAGGAAUACCGGUGGCGAAGGCGGCCCCCUGGACAAAGACUGACGCUCAGGUGCGUAAGCGUGGGGAGCAAACAGG